AGUGAACGCUGGCGGUAGGCCUAACACAUGCAAGUCGAACGGCAGCACAGUAAGAGCUUGCUCUUACGGGUGGCGAGUGGCGGACGGGUGAGGAAUACAUCGGAAUCUACUUUUUCGUGGGGGAUAACGUAGGGAAACUUACGCUAAUACCGCAUACGACCUACGGGUGAAAGCAGGGGAUCUUCGGACCUUGCGCGAUUGAAUGAGCCGAUGUCGGAUUAGCUAGUUGGCGGGGUAAAGGCCCACCAAGGCGACGAUCCGUAGCUGGUCUGAGAGGAUGAUCAGCCACACUGGAACUGAGACACGGUCCAGACUCCUACGGGAGGCAGCAGUGGGGAAUAUUGGACAAUGGCCGCAAGCCUGAUCCAGCCAUACCGCGUGGGUGGAGAAGGCCUUCGGGUUGUAAAGCCCUUUUGUUGGGAAAGAAAAGCAGCAGGUUAAUACCCCGCUGUUCUGACGGUACCCAAAGAAUAAGCACCGGCUAACUUCGUG
rnacentral:rRNA from 1 species